GUAGGUGGCAAGCGUUGUCCGGAAUUAUUGGGCGUAAAGCGCGCGCAGGCGGUCCUUUAAGUCUGAUGUGAAAGCCCACGGCUCAACCGUGGAGGGUCAUUGGAAACUGGGGGACUUGAGUACAGAAGAGGAAAGCGGAAUUCCAAGUGUAGCGGUGAAAUGCGUAGAGAUUUGGAGGAACACCAGUGGCGAAGGCGGCUUUCUGGUCUGUAACUGACGCUGAGGCGCGAAAGCGUGGGGAGCAAACAGGAUUAGAUACCCUGGUAGUCCACGCCGUAAACGAUGAGUGCUAAGUGAUAGGGGGUUUCCCGCCCCUUAGUGCUGCAGCUAACGCAUUAAGCACUCCGCCUGGGGAGUACGGCCGCAAGGCUG
rnacentral:rRNA from 1 species